UUUUUAUUCACUGAUCUCUAAGCUGUCUUCUUCACUCAAGAAUUUCCUUCACAGGAAGGAGACCCACCCGCCGUUUCUCCUUCCAGAGAGACCACAGCCGCCGUCCCCGUCCUGCGAAAAGAAGACAUCGGAGGGUUUGAGAAUGUCAACCCAUCUCAUGUCAACGGCGAAGAGCUGUUUGAAGCUGACAUCUUGCUGUCUUCUGAGCAGAGAAGGCAAUUGCUGGAGAGGAAGGCCAUACCAUACACUUCCAUGCGGUGGCCAAAUGGACCGAAUGGAACUCCAGUUGUGCCUUACAAGUUCGGAGACACGGCUGUGAAUACAACAGCGGUAGAGGCAGGGUUGGCCCACUGGGAGGAGCAUACUUGUAUUGACUUCCAGCUCAUCAGUGGUGCUGCUCCAAGCCAAUACUUGAACUUCAUUAAAGGCACUGGGUGCUGGUCAUAUGUCGGAAUGCAGUCAACAGCACAAGAUUUAUCUAUUGGUGAUGGAUGCAAUGCGCUGGGGACUGUUGCUCAUGAGGUGGGCCACGCCAUGGGAUGCUUCCACGAGCAGUCCCGUUCUGACAGGAACGACUAUGUUUCUAUCAUUUUCGAAAACAUACAAGCGGGCAAAGAAGGAAACUUCCAAAAAAAUGUUGACAACAACUACUCAGUCAAAUAUGAUUUCAUGUCAGAUUUGCAUUAUGGCUCAGAUGUAGGUUGUCUCUUCAUUUUAUCUGAAUCUGUCAAUUCUAGUAUAGUGUUAACUGCUCUCUUGACCUCUAGACGACUCCUAACAUCUGUAGGAGAUAAUUAACCAUUCAUUUCUUUAUGGGUGACAAAACAGUUUGAGCUGUGACCUUGCUGACUCAGCUUUGAGCUCAUCCAUGAUACUGGAGAACAGAUAUUGCAUUUCAUUAUCCAAUGAAGAGAGCUUUGAGAGGGAACGGGCAAAGACAUCUUCUUUUCGUCUGCAAGCAGCGCCUUUUACUAUUUGCAAGUCGUCUCUGUAUAUCUGAGUGUUUUUGUCUGAAACCCUGUCCGCUUAUGAUAUUGUCUGACAAACAAGUUGGUCAGCUAAGAUGACACAAAUUAAGAAGUUGUUGUUUUGUUUUUAGCAGAGAUCACUGUCUUCGUUCUUGUAAACAUAAAAAUGAGUUCUCAUAAGACAUAAUGCAACCUUGAGGCACUUGCAAAUAAUCUUCCCGUUGUGAUACCACAGAAAAUAGUUAUAGCGUCAUUCAUAUGUUUAGUAACGAGCAAAAUUUUCUUUGUACAAAUGUGGUUUAACCAGUCAUGAAUCUCUCAUCAUUUAGAACACAGGAUGUCCUGUUUGCACUGAAAUAUUACGGUCAUACAUUUUAUUUUCAAAGGAAUUGGAUUAACGUUACUUUGACUGACCAAGUUACUUAGAAAUCUUCCAAUGUAUUUCUGCAUCUAAUCAAAGUUUCGCCUUUUUGCUGGAACAGUACUUCUCUGUGAAUGGAAAAAAUACAAUAACAACAAAAAAUCCGUUAGCACAAGAACUUAUUGGCAAAAGGACUGGCCUGAGCCACUACGAUAAACUACUGGCGAACACGAUGUAUCCAUGCAUUAGUGAGUGCUAUUUGAUUAUUGGAGUGUGGAUAGUAGAGAGGGUUACG